rnacentral:lncRNA from 1 species
UUUUUUUAAGGGAAAUAAAUAUGUAAGGUGAUAGUUCUGUAUCUCAGCUUCUCUGAGAACUCUGGGCUAUUGCUUUUUUUUAGCCACUUUUGUCCUUUUGUGUUUAUUAUUGGUAGAAUUGUGUUUUAGAUUAUAAAUCUUCCUUGAUAACAUUACAAAUUCAAUCAAAACUUCUUGCUUAAUAAUUGUCGUAUAAAUUUGAAUUAGAGACCCAGGUGGAUGAAUGCCUGGGCAAACCAUGUGAAACCUGGGUGGGUUUUGCACUUAAGAGUUGGUAAAAUUGAUCUCUUGAGUUUAGGUAACUGUAUAGUUCAAGGAAUGGGCAAGAAAUCCAUCCUUAGACUGAUAAAAGGGAAAUUUUUGACCUAAGAACUCUGAAACAACAUUGUUUUCAGUCUACCCUGGAUUGCUUUCUCGUAGGCCACAGUCCAACUAUCUUAAGGUUUUUUGCUGUGUAAACUUCAACCAGCCAACAAGCCAAUGAAAAAGCAAGCUUUGGUCUUGUUUGUUUCUGGGAAGGGUUUUAUUUCAUUACUCUGAUAGUUGAUUAGUAACUUGGUAAUUAUGAGAAACUUAGGUCUGCUAGCACUGUUUGAAGUAAAAUGUGAUUUGGGGCCAGCAGCUGCAGAAGUAUCAACUCUGCAUCUGGCAAGUGUUUUUGAAAAUUAGAUCCCAAGGGAACAAUACCCUGUCACUAGUCACCACCUCAGCUGAGGCAGCUACUUUAGGAAUAAGGUUGCUUUGGAUUAUUCGAGCAGAAACAGUUCUUUCUUGGGGCAAGGGGCAGGGUGAGGAGUGAGUUACUGCACCUUGGAUUGCUUUGCUGGCUUUAGAAGCAGCCAGUGAUUGAACUAGAGAGGAGAUGGAUAAAAGUAUAAAGGACUUGCUUUUAUGGUAGAUUUUCUGUAAAAACCUUGAGUAUUCCUUUCAGGCUAGCCAGAUGUGUCAAUGUACAGAUGACUGUUCUGUUUUCCUCACUGACUAUACUGUAACAUUAAAAUGGGUUAAAACAAAACUGCCUUUUGCUCUAUGAAAAGUUAUUAGUCCAUAAGAUUUUAAGCUGUGUGUUUACUCCUGCUCUGAAAAUGCACAGCCCUGCUCUGGAUACCCUCUCUGGAAGGUAGAGAGCUCCUAGUGUGUAUGGCACAUUGCCGGGCUUUCUCGUACAUUCCUGGCAGAUUUGCCCAAAUCUUCAGAUGGGCUGGGUAGUACAGUAUCUUCUCCAAAUGUGGGAUCUGAAAUAAAUACUACAUGGAUAGUGGCGAUAGAUAUAUUAAUUUUUAAAACUGUAAAGUAAAUGUCUCUAGUCCUAGGUUUGUGGUGUGUUCAUUUGUGUUACUGUGUAGGGAAGGAACACUGACUUAGUGGUUAUGGGGAGUGUAUCUUGAUGUGUGUGCAGGGGUGAGAAUCGCUAAAUUAACAGCUUUUCAUUUAGGGGUAAGUCACGUGUUGAGUGGCCUAAUCAAAAAAAUGAAGGAGUGAAGAUACAAGCUUUGCCAAGUGAUGAAAUGAGCAAGGUUUUGUAUCUGUUUUUUAUCAGGUGUUGUAAAAUUUGUGCAUGGCCUUUUUUGUUGUUGCUUAGUUAAUUGGUAGAGAAGAAAAGAUGAGGGAGAAAAUAUUAGCUUUGCUAACCAGUCUUUUCAGACGUACAUAGCUGAAGAGUAAAAUCUGACUGGCUUAACACGGUGAAAGAGCCUAUCUUUUAUAACACUCACCUCAUCCUGCAGUCCUCCACAUAGAAGAAUCCCAUUGUUGUAUUCUAGUAAUUCACUGUGAUUUAUAACAAACCAGUGAUGUCAUCCUAUUGUGCACUUUUGUCCAACCAUUUACGUGACUUUAAUAAACAUAGUAAACUUGCUGACUGCACCAGAGGUCUGUUAGUGAUUUAUAUAUUGCAUGACAUUUUCUAUUUGAGUUUGACAUGUAGAAUCAUUUUUAAUUUCGUAGUAAUCGAUAGUCCUAAUAGCCCAGCUAAUUUGAAACUAACAAUAUUGCUGUGUAAAAGGAAAAAAUGGUGUUUGUGUUCAGUAAAUGUUUGAA